rnacentral:rRNA from 1 species
CCUACGGGUGGCAGCAGUGAGGAAUAUUGGUCAAUGGACGAGAGUCUGAACCAGCCAAGUAGCGUGAAGGAUGACUGCCCUAUGGGUUGUAAACUUCUUUUAUAUGGGAAUAAAAUGUUCCACGUGUGGGUUUUUGUAUGUACCAUAUGAAUAAGGAUCGGCUAACUCCGUGCCAGCAGCCGCGGUAAUACGGAGGAUCCGAGCGUUAUCCGGAUUUAUUGGGUUUAAAGGGAGAGUAGGUGGAUUGUUAAGUCAGUUGUGAAAGUUUGCGGCUCAACCGUAAAAUUGCAGUUGAAACUGGCAGUCUUGAGUACAGGAGAGGUGGGCGGAAUUCGUGGUGUAGCGGUGAAAUGCUUAGAUAUCACGAAGAACUCCGAUUGCGAAGGCAGCUCACUGGACUGUAACUGACACUGAGGCUCGAAAGUGUGGGUAUCAAACAGGAUUAGAUACCCGAGUAGUC